AUGCACGAUUUUGGAGAAGCCUCCGGACUACACAUCAACCCUUCAAAGUCGACGGCUUUACCCAUCAGAUGUGAGAAUAUAGACCUAGGGUUUGUGUUGCAAAAUUUCAAAGGGGCAGAGGGGCAAUUCUCGACCACCUAUUUAGGCCUGCCGCUGACACUAGCUAGACUACGACUAGCAAACAUACAAUUCAUCAUAGACAGGAUCAAGGCUCGACUUGCAGGAUGGAAAGGAAAACUCCUGCCAAUAGCCAGUAGGCGAGUAUUGGUUCGAUGUGUCCUCGGUGCUAUGCCCACUUUUGCCCUAACUAUUCUCAAAGUGCCAAAGAAGCUACUCAAGGAGAUCGACAGAUGCAGGCGUAGAUUUCUUUGGAAGCAAGAUGAGGCGAUCACAGGUGGUAGCUGCAAGGUUAACUGGUCGGUGGUGUGCACUCCUACAUCUCAUGGAGGACUAGGGAUCAUCGAUCUCGAACGUUUCAGCUGUGCCCUUAGAUUACGAUGGCUAUGGAUAGCCUGGUCUGACCCUGGGCGGCCUUGG
rnacentral:rRNA from 1 species